AAUUGGAGAGUUUGAUCCUGGCUCAGAGCGAACGCUAGCGGCGCGCUUAACACAUGCAAGUCGCACGAGAAAGAGGGGCAACCCUUUAGUAAAGUGGCGCACGGGUGAGUAACACGUGGGUAAUCUCCCCCCGAGACUGGAAUAACCCGCCGAAAGGUGGGCUAAUACCGGAUAAGACCACGGGACGCAAGUCCUGGGGUCAAAGGCGGGUCAGCAAUGGCCUGUCACUCAGGGAUGAGCCCGCGUCCCAUCAGCUAGUUGGUGAGGUAACGGCUCACCAAGGCUAAGACGGGUAGCUGGUCUUAGAGGACGAUCAGCCACACUGGCACUGGAACACGGGCCAGACUCCUACGGGAGGCAGCAGUGGGGAAUUUUGCGCAAUGGGCGAAAGCCUGACGCAG
rnacentral:rRNA from 1 species